GCUCAGUUGGUAGAGUACAAAGCUCAUAACCUUGUGGUCAUGGGUUCAAGCCCCAC
rnacentral:tRNA from 1 species